rnacentral:rRNA from 1 species
UACGAGGGGUGCAAGCGUUGCUCGGAAUUAUUGGGCGUAAAGGGUAGGUAGGUGGUCUCAUUUGUCUGAGGUGAAAGCCUUGAGCUCAACUCAAGAAGUGCCUCGGAAACGGUGAGACUAGAGUCCUGGAGAGGGUCGUGGAAUUCCCAGUGUAGCGGUGAAAUGCGUAGAGAUUGGGAGGAACACCAGAGGCGAAGGCGGCGACCUGGACAGGCACUGACACUCAACUACGAAAGCGUGGGGAGCAAACAGG